CCAUACCUUUCCACUAGCCAUUCCUAUAGUUAUUACAAAUUAUUACAACCCAAAAUGAACCAGAAAAGUAAAAAAAAUAAAAAUAAAAUUACAUCAAAAAUUCAAGCUACACCCAAACAGCCUAAUUUAGACUUAAAGUCUAACAAUACGAGAUAAACCAACUUCUGAGAUCAGAUUUCCAAAAGCCUUUUUCUUAUUU
rnacentral:lncRNA from 1 species